UACGUAGGGUGCGAGCGUUGUCCGGAAUUAUUGGGCGUAAAGAGCUCGUAGGCGGUGUGUCACGUCGGCCGUGAAAACCUGCAGCUUAACUGUGGCGUGCGGUCGAUACGGGCAUCACUGGAGUUCGGCAGGGGAGACUGGAAUUCCUGGUGUAGCGGUGAAAUGCGCAGAUAUCAGGAGGAACACCGGUGGCGAAGGCGGCUAUCUGGACAGAGUCUGACGCUGAGGCGCGAAAGCUAGGGGAGCAAACAGG
rnacentral:rRNA from 1 species